rnacentral:rRNA from 1 species
UACGAAGGGUGCAAGCGUUACUCGGAAUUACUGGGCGUAAAGCGUGCGUAGGUGGUUUGUUAAGUCUGAUGUGAAAGCCCUGGGCUCAACCUGGGAAUUGCAUUGGAUACUGGCAGCUAGAGUGCGGUAGAGGAUGGCGGAAUUCCCGGUGUAGCAGUGAAAUGCGUAGAGAUCGGGAGGAACAUCUGUGGCGAAGGCGGCCUCUGGACCAGCACUGACGCUGAGGCACGAAAGCGUGGGGGAGCAAACAGG